rnacentral:rRNA from 1 species
UCUUUCUUUGCUGGCGACCGGCGCACGGGUGAGUAACACGUAUCCAACCUGCCCUUUACUCGGGGAUAGCCUUUCGAAAGAAAGAUUAAUACCCGAUAGCAUAAUGAUUCCGCAUGGUUUCAUUAUUAAAGGAUUCCGGUAAAGGAUGGGGAUGCGUUCCAUUAGGUUGUUGGUGGGGUAACGGCCCACCAAGCCUCCGAUGGAUAGGGGUUCUGAGAGGAAGGUCCCCCACAUUGGAACUGAGACACGGUCCAA